AUUGAACGCUGGCGGCAUGCUUUACACAUGCAAGUCGAACGGUAACAGGCCGCAAGGUGCUGACGAGUGGCGAACGGGUGAGUAAUGCAUCGGAACGUGCCCAGUCGUGGGGGAUAACUACUCGAAAGAGUAGCUAAUACCGCAUACGAUCUAUGGUUGAAAGCGGGGGACCGUAAGGCCUCGCGCGAUUGGAGCGGCCGAUGUCAGAUUAGGUAGUUGGUGGGGUAAAGGCUCACCAAGCCAACGAUCUGUAGCUGGUCUGAGAGGACGACCAGCCACACUGGGACUGAGACACGGCCCAGACUCCUACGGGAGGCAGCAGUGGGGAAUUUUGGACAAUGGGCGCAAGCCUGAUCCAGCAAUGCCGCGUGCAGGAAGAAGGCCUUCGGGUUGUAAACUGCUUUUGUAAGGAACGAAACGGCUCUGGUUAAUACCCGGGGCUAAUGACGGUACCGUAAGAAUAAGCACCGGCUAACUACGUG
rnacentral:rRNA from 1 species